UAAAGUUACGUAUAGAUUAAACGUAGUAUACUAUUGCAGCUGCAUCUGAUGAAAUGUACAUGUCCUCAGUAUUCAUCAACAAUUACAAGAUGCUUCAGAUGAUGCACACAACUCUUCAAAAACUGUUUGCAACGAGGAAACUUUCCAUUUAGGAGAGCAUUCGUCUGGUCUCACAAAUUGCAGCUGGAAUAGCAUACUUACAUCAUCGUUAUUUGACAUUUUUCCAACCAGUGUCUUUGAGUACUUUAGUUGUCGUCAUGGAUGGAAAGACCAUCGAACGAAUGAAGGUGAUUUCUGAAAUAAAAGAUAUUAGAAAUGAACUGGAUACUGCCCAGGAUGUAGAUAACAUCGGACAGAUAACUAAACUAGUUAUCAGGAAUACAUGAAAACUGCCAGAAGAUGGACAUAAACCAUGAUUUAACAAAUUGUACAUUUUUUUAAUAUUAUGUGAUGUUCGUAUAUUUGUCUGUGUAAUAUAUUUUUUAUUUAUGUAUAUUUAUGUAGAAUUACGUAUAAAUUAAACGUAGUAUACUAUUUCAACUGCAUCUGAUGAAAUGUUCAUGUCCUCAGUUUAUCAACAAUUACAAGAUGCUUGAGAUGAAGCACACAACUCUUCGAGAACUGUUUGCAACGAGGAAACUUUCCAUUCAGGAGAGUAUUCGUCUGGUCUCACAACUUGCAGCUGGAAUAGCGUACUUACAUCAUCGUUAUUUGACAUUUUGCCAACCAGUUUCUUUGGAUACUUUAGUUGUCGUUAUGGAUGGAAAGACCAUUGAACGAAUGAAGGUGAUUUCUGAAAUAAAAGAUAUUAGAAAUGAACUGGAUACUGCCCAGGAUGUAGAUAGCAUCGGACAGAAAACUAAACUGGUUAUCUGGAAUACUCGAAAACUGCCAGAAGAUGGACAUAAACCAUGAUCUAACAAAUUAUACAUUUUUUUAUAUUAUGUGAUGUUUGUAUAUUUGUUUGUGUAACAUCUUUUAAAUUCAUGUAAAUGAUAAU